AUUGCUCAAUGCUUUCCUAUGGACGUUCUGCACGCCUCUAGCAGCUGUCAGGAAGACAGCCACUAGAGGUUGGAUUAACCCUGCUAUGUUAAUAUAGCAGUUUCUCUAAAACUGCUAUGUUUACAUCUGAAGGGUUAAAACCUGGGGGACCUGGCACCCAGACCACUUCAUUGAACUGAAGUGUCUGGUUGACUAUAGUGUCCCUU